UACAGAGGGUGCAAGCGUUGUUCGGAAUUAUUGGGCGUAAAGGGCGCGUAGGCGGUGCGGUAAGUCUUUUGUGAAAUCUCCGGGCUCAACUCGGAGUCUGCAAGAGAAACUGCCGUGCUGGAGUAUGGGAGAGGUGAGUGGAAUUCCCGGUGUAGCGGUGAAAUGCGUAGAUAUCUGGAGGAACACCGGUGGCGAAGGCGGCGUUCUGGACUGCAACUGACACUGAGGAACGAAAGCCAGGGGAGCAAACGGG
rnacentral:rRNA from 1 species